ACGAACCGUCCAAACGUUAUUCGGAUUCAUUGGGCUUAAAGGGUACGUAGGCGGCGCCAUCAGUCGGGUGUGAAAGCCCUCGGCUCAACCGAGGAACUGCGCCCGAUACUGUGGUGCUUGAGGGAGACAGAGGUAAGCGGAACUGAUGGUGGAGCGGUGAAAUGCGUUGAUAUCAUCAGGAACACCGGUGGCGAAAGCGGCUUACUGGGUCUCUUCUGACGCUGAGGUACGAAAGCUAGGGGAGCGAACGGGA
rnacentral:rRNA from 1 species